GGGGAUUUAGCUCAGUGGUGUAAGUACCUGCCUUGCAAGCAGGCGGUCGUGAGUUCGAUCCCCG
rnacentral:tRNA from 1 species